AGAUUGAACGCUGGCGGCAUGCCUUACACAUGCAAGUCGAACGGCAGCACGGGAGCAAUCCUGGUGGCGAGUGGCGAACGGGUGAGUAAUACAUCGGAACGUGCCCAAUCGUGGGGGAUAACUACGCGAAAGCGUAGCUAAUACCGCAUACGAUCUACGGAUGAAAGCGGGGAUCGCAAGACCUCGCGCGAGUGGAGC
rnacentral:rRNA from 1 species